rnacentral:rRNA from 1 species
GAGCAUGCGGAUUAAUUUGAUGCAACGCGAAGAACCUUACCAAGGCUUGACAUGGACCGGAAAUGCCUGGAAACAGGUGCCCCGCUUGCGGUCGGUUCACAGGUGGUGCAUGGUUGUCGUCAGCUCGUGUCGUGAGAUGUUGGGUUAAGUCCCGCAACGAGCGCAACCCUCGUUCUAUGUUGCCAGCGCGUUAUGGCGGGGACUCAUAGGAGACUGCCGGGGUCAACUCGGAGGAAGGUGGGGACGACGUCAAAUCAUCAUGCCCCUUAUGUCUUGGGCUUCACGCAUGCUACAAUGGCCGGUACAAAGGGUUGCGAUACUGUGAGGUGGAGCUAAUCCCAAAAAGCCGGUCUCAGUUCGGAUUGGGGUCUGCAACUCGACCCCAUGAAGUCGGAGUCGCUAGUAAUCGCAGAUCAGCAACGCUGCGGUGAAUACGUUCCCGGGCCUUGUACACACCGCCCGUCAAGUCACGAAAGUUGGUAACACCCGAAGCCGGUGGCCUAACCCCUUGUGGGAGGGAGCUGUCGAAGGUGGGACUGGCGAUUGGGACUAAGU